rnacentral:rRNA from 1 species
UAGGGAAUCUUCCACAAUGGACGCAAGUCUGAUGGAGCAACGCCGCGUGAGUGAAGAAGGUUUUCGGACCGUAAAGCUCUGUUGUUGGUGAAGAAGGAUAGAGGUAGUAACUGGCCUUUAUUUGACGGUAAUCAACCAGAAAGUCACGGCUAACUACGUGCCAGCAGCCGCGGUAAUCGUAGGUGGCAAGCGUUGUCCGGAUUUAUUGGGCGUAAAGCGAGCGCAGGCGGAAGAAUAAGUCUGAUGUGAAAGCCCUCGGCUUAACCGAGGAAUUGCAUCGGAAACUGUUUUCUUGAGUGCAGAAGAGGAGAGUAGAACUCCAUGUGUAGCGGUGGAAUGCGUAGAUAUAUGGAAGAAUACCAGUGGCGAAGGCGGCUCUCUGGUCUGCAACUGACGCUGAGGCUCGAAAGCAUGGGUAGCGAACAGGAUUAGAUACCCUGGUAGCCCAUGCCGUAAACGAUGAGUGCUAAGUGUUGGGAGGCUUCCGCCUCUCAGUGCUGCAGCUAACGCAUUAAGCACUCCGCCUGGGGGAGUACGACCGCAAGGUUGAAAC